AUGAGGCAAUAUUGGUGGGGGGUGGAAAAUGGCAAGAGGAAAAUAGCAUGGCUAAGCUGGGAGAGGAUGAUGCUACCUAAGGCUAUGGGGGGCAUGGGAUUCCGUGACAUGAGGGCCUUUAAUCAGGCUCUACUGGCCAAGCAGGCUUGGCGCCUUCUGGAUUGCCCAGAUAGCUUAUGCGCACGGUUGUUGAAGGCUAAAUACUACCCAAGGGGGAACUUGUUGGAUACUGUUUUUUCUUCAAACUCCUCGGCGGUGUGGAAAGGUAUUGUUCACGGACUUGAGCUUGUGAAAAAAGGCAUUAUAUGGCGAGUUGGUAAUGGCACACUGAUAAAGACUUGGAGAGAUGCUUGGAUCCCGCGAGGACACAAUUUCAGACCGGUCACUCCUAAGAGGAAUUGUCAGUUCAAUUGGGUGGCUGAUUUUUUUGAAUGA
rnacentral:rRNA from 1 species